rnacentral:lncRNA from 1 species
UAGCUCUAAUUGGCUGUGAUAGACAGCCCUUUUUUCUUCCUUCUAGUCAGUUGUUUGUUGCAACUAACUACCCAGACUUCUUCUCUUCUUCCUUUCUUAUAUAUACCUUGUAUCUUGUACUUACACUCAAGUGAAAUACAUUGAAACUUAAAGCUAAAAUAUCCACAUGGUAUCAGAACGGGUUCUUUCGUAACAUGUCUCUGUCAUUCUUGCCGCUGCGUUAUUCCUUUCGUCUUUGAGCCAUGGCUGAAGAAAGUUCAGUAAACUGCGAUGAAGAAACUCAACAUAGCCUCUCCCCAAAUUUCUCAGAUGUUGAGGUUAACACCAAUCAACAUCUGUGUUCAGUUCUCUUGAACGAGUUCAAUUAUCUUCCUUAGUCUCAAGUUGUUUCACUAACUCUCGGAGGCAGAGGGAAAUUAGGGUUUGUCAAUGGAAGCGUGUAGGCUCCAGACAACUCCUCGACAACAUACAGUGCAUGGCUUUGUAAGGAUCAGCUUGUCAUGUCCUUACUCCUCUGCACCAUGGAGAAACAUGUUGCUGAGAUUUUUAGCUAUUACAAUUCGUCACUUGAUCUUUGGAAAGCCUUGUAGGAUAUGUAUGGAAAUCAAAACAAUUAUUUACGAGUUUUUCAACUUAAGAAGGACAUUGCUAGUGCCCAACAAGAAGGAAAAACGUUUGUUCAACAUUUGAGGAGUCUCAAGGCCAUGUGGAAUGAGUUGGAUGUUUAUCUCCCUCAUACCAUAUACCCUACCACUCUCCUGAAACGAGCUAAGGAAGACAUAAUCUAUUAGCUAUUAGGGAGUUUGAACUCCGAAUACGAGGACCUAAGGAGUCACAUAUUGAUGAGUCAAGAACUGCCAACUUCCAACAAUGUAUGUGCAACUAUUCAACGAGAAAAAGCAAGGAAGAAAGUGAUGAAUGCUGAGCACAGCUCAAGAUUGACUGAAACUCGUGCAUAUGCCUCAAACUACAAGAACUCAGAGGCAAAAUGGUAUAAGGGAAGAAAUACACACCUAAAAUGCAAAUACUGCAAUGGUGUUGGUCAUGUGGAAGACAAGUGUUAGGAACUUCAUCCUGAACUCAAGCCUAAAUUUAGCAAAGAUAGGAAGAUGAUACCAAGAUCCUCACAACAAUUUCACUCUCAACCUAAAGGCUCAACUUGCUAAUGCUCACUCUUCUACUGUCUCACAAGGAUCCAUGGAAUUCAUUGCCAAUCCAUUGUCACUCAUCAAUGAAUUUGCAGCCUAUCUUCAAAGUAAGGGACAUGGAUGAGGUUCACAAGCUCAAGGCAAGGAUGAGGGUAGUCAUACAACUAUAUUGGGAUAAUUCGCCGGCUUUCUUGCUGGAAAUGAGAAGGCAUCAUAAGAGAAAACACCACGUAUACUCAGAGCCUUCAUUACUGCCCUAUUGACUAGUACUGAAAAUGAUUGUUGGGUAAUAGAUUUAGGCGCCACAGAUCAUAUGACAAACAAAGUCACAAACUUGCAUCAUUUUAAACGUUUUUCGAGUCCUUCACAUGUUUCAGUUGCAAAUGGAAAAAAUGUCUUAGUUUUGGGCAAAAGGGAAGUAAACUUACUCUCACACAAAAUACCCUCCACUACCUUAUAUGUACCAACCUUUCCUUUCCAACUUUUGUCAAUUGGAAAAAUCAUAAACACCCUAAAUUGCCGUGCUAUUUUCUCACCAGAUAAUGUAAUUUUUCAAGAUGUUCUCACCAUAAAGAUGAUUGAUGAAUGGGUCUUCAUAAAUGGACUUUACUACUUAUGCAAGAAUGCCUGCUUUUCUUAGGCUCUUCAAGUUCAAUCGAAGUCCAUAGAUGAAAACCAACUUUGGCAUAAGAGAUUAGCUCAUCCUUUAAAAGCUGUCCUGUUAAAACUAUUUCCAUUUUUUUUGUAAAUCUCAUCUUACUUGUGAUACUUGUCAAUUUUCUAAGUUUACUAGACUACCUUUUGGUAAUUCAAUGUCUAUGACAAGUAAACCUUUUGAAAUGGUUCACACUAAUGUAUGGGGACCAGUAGCUGAAUCAAUUGAAGGUUUUAAGUAUUUUGUUCUAUUUGUUGAUGACUUCUUUCGAAUGAGUUUUUUUAUACUUUAUGAAAUCAAAUAGUGAAGUCCCAAACAUUUUCAAAGACUUUCAUCUACAUGUUAAAACUCAAUUUCAAUCAAACAUUAAAGUCUUAAGAUCAGACAAUGGCACUGAAUUUAUAUCCAACAACAUGCUUCAAUACAUAAGUUCUCAGGGCAUCAUACAUCAAACCAGUUGUGUAGGAACUCCCCAACAAAAUGGAGUAACUGGGAGAAAGAAUAUGGAUCUCUUAGAAAAGACUCGUGCUCUUAUGCUUCACGUGAAUGUUCCAAAGAAAUUUUGGUCAUUUGCAAUCCUCACUACCACUUAUCUCAUCAAUCGACUCCCAAAUCGAGUGCUAGAGUUCAAAUCUCUCUAUGAAGUACUCAAAGGUAGAAAGAUUGAUUUGACACACCUCAAGGUAUUUGGAUGUGUUUGCUUUGUUCACAUUCAAGCCUUGAAUCGUGACAAAUUAGAUGUCAGGGCUACCAAGUGUGCGUUUAUGGGUUACUCUUCCACCCAAAAAGGAUAUAAGUGCUUCAAUCCAGCCACUAAAAACUGCAUUAUGUAAAGAGAUGUGAAGUUUGAAGAAAAAUGUCCUUAUUUCACUUCCAAAUGAACUACUAUAAGUCAGGGGGAGGAAUUGUUUGAAUUAUUUCCAUUCCCUCAGAACUUUAAUCCUCUUGUGUUGGAAGAAAACUCAAUCUUUGUGAUUUCUGAUGGUGAAGAAGUGCAAACUGACUCAGUCACUGCUAGUCCGAUUCCUGCUAGUGAAGAGAAUGAUGAGUCUCAUUCUGAUAACUCUUAACCUUUCAUAGAGCCUUAAGUGAUUAAAAGAAAUCCUCCUCGAACAAGGAAACCUCCAACUAGGUUGCAAGAUUAUGUUACUUAUGCCUCACGGCACCCUAUCAUUGAAAGCAUCAGUUUUCGUGAGUUCUAUACAUAUCAUGCUGCAUUUCUCAGUGAAAUUGAUAAACACUGUGAACCUAGGAGUUUCCGAGAAGCAUCACUCCUUCCAUAAUGGAAUCAAGCCAUGGCACAUGAGCUUCAUACACUGGAAGAAAAUAACACCUGGAGUUUUGUUCAAUUACCACCAAGAAAAAAGGUUGUUAGAAGUCGUUGGAUUUACAAGAUUAAAUUCAAGGCUGAUGGUUCUAUCGAGUGACACAAGGCUAGACUUGUAGCUCAAGGUUUCACCCAGACCUUUGGGGUAGAUUACAAAGAAACAUUUGCACCUGUGGCCAAGAUGAAUUCUGUGAGGGUUUUACUUUCAAUUGCUGUAAAUUGUGGGUGGUCCCUCUAUAAAAUAGAUGCGAAAAAUGUUUUUCUUCACGGAGAAUUACAAGAAAAAGUGUAUAUGCAGCCUCUUCCAGGCUAUAAUGGUCUUGAAGGCAACAUGGUGUGUAAAUUGCACAAGGCAAUAUAUGGAUUAAAACAAUCCCCAAGAGCUUGGUAUGCCAAGCUCAGUUCAGUACUCUAGAAGGCUGGUUUUAUGCGAAGUAAUGUUGAUUCCUCACUGUUUGUAAAAACUGGUACCAAUGGGAAAUUAUUGGUUCUUAUCUACUCGGACGAUCUCAUUAUCACAUGAGACAUUGCUGUUGAAAAUGAGGCACUAAAACGUUCACUACAUCAAACAUUUGCUAUCAAAAAUCUGGGGCAGCUCAAGUAUUUUUUGGGUAUUGAAAUGGCAACAUCUUCAAAUGGGCUAUUUCUCCAUCAACUCAAAUAUGUACUAGAUCUUCUUCAAGAAGCAAACAUGCUUGAUUGCAAACUUGCCAUCACUCCCGUGGAUUGCAAACUGAGGCUCAAUACAGAUAGAGAAGCCAUGCAUGAUGUGAGUUUUUACCAACAGUUAGUAGAGAAGCUUAUAUAUCUCAACAUCACACAUCCAGAUAUCACAUAUGCAGUAAGCUUGGCAAGUCAAUUUAUGCAAUCUCCCACUAUGGAUCACCUUCACAUUGUUAAAAGAAUUUUGCGCUACCUCAAGGGGUCAAUAGGGCAAGGAAUCAUCAUGAGUAACAAUAAGUCCACUACCAUUAGUGGCUACACGGAUGCAGAUUGGGCAGGGAAUGCACUUGAUAAAAAAUGUACCACAAGCUAUUGUACAUUUGUAGGGGGCAAUCUUAUUACUUAGAAUAGCAAGAGGCAAUAAUUAAUUGCUCAUUCCAACACAGGUUGAAUAUCGAGCCAUGACAGCCACUGCUUGUGAACUUAUUUGACUUAAAAGGCUUCUUUCAGACUUAGGGUUCCCUACUUCGUCCUCUAUGUCCAUUAUGUGCGAUAAUCAAGCAACCAUGCACAUUGCUGCCAACCAUGUGUUUCAUGAAAAAACCAAACAUAUCGAAGUGGACUGUCAUUUCAUUAGAGCUCAAAUUUAAUCUCAAGUUAUACGGACCAUCUUCACACAAACCCAUGAUCAACUGGCAGAUCUCUUUACCAAGGCACUGCCAUCAGCUCCAUUUCAUCAUUUUUUUGGGCAAGCUUGGCUCAAUUAACCUCUUCAAUCCAGCUUGAAAGGGAGUGUUGAAAGAAUGAAGUGUUGAAGUGUGUUCCAAUGGGUUUAGGGUUAGCUUCUAGAGUAAGCUACCUUGGGUGUAUCUCUAGGGUUAAGCCCAUACUUGUUGUAAAUCUAUUUUUCCUUAAUUUAAGGAAAAUGACUGAUUAGUAUAAAGUAGAUAAAGCCUUUCCUUAAUCUAAGGAAGAUGACUGAUUGGAUGAGGUAGGUUAACUCUAGUUGGCUGUGAUAGACAGCCCUUUUUUCUUCCUUCUAGUCAGCUGCUUGUUGCAGCUAGCUACCCGGACUUCUUCUCUUCUUCCUCUCUCAUAUACCUUGUAUCUUGUACUUACACUCAAGUAUCCACAGUAAUAAACUGAGAGUUACCCUAUAAGUAAACAAUUGGUUGCAUUCUGACAUUAGCCACAAACUAUAACAACUGCGUUCCUCUCUUUGUGAUUGAAGUAGCAAUCCGACAAAAUCCUGAGCGCUCCUCGGACAAAUUGAUCGAAAUCCAACACUUCAAAAACAACAGAUGAAAAUUCAGCAACUGCACGAAGCAAGCAACACAGAAAAAGGUUGUUCCCACUUCAAAGUUUAUGCCAAAAGAAACAAUUAAUUAAGACAAAUAAUGCAAAUUUUAGCGAGGAACUAGAUAGAUAGUGAUGAAA